rnacentral:rRNA from 1 species
GAUGAACGCUGGCGGCGUGCUUAAUACAUGCAAGUCGAACGAACAGAUGCGGAUCUUGCUCCUCUCACGUUAGCGGCGGACGGGUGAUUCACACGUGUAUAACCUACCUAUAAGACUGGUAUAACGUCGGGACACCGGAUCUAAUACCGGAUAAUAUAUUGAACCGCAGGGUUCAAUAGUAAAAGACGGUUUUGCUGUCACGUAUAGAUGGAUCCUCGCCGCAUUAGCUAGUUGGUAAGGUAACGGCUUACCAAGGCUACGAUGCGUAGCCGACCUGAGAGGGGGAUCGGCCACACUGGAACUGAGACACGGCCCAGACUCCUACGGGAGGCAGCAGUAGGGAAUCUUCGGCAAUGGGGGCAAGCCUGACGGAGCAAGGCCGCGUGCGUGAUGAAGGUCUUCGGAUCGUAAACCUCUGUUAUGCGGGAAGAACAAAUGUGUACGUAAAUCUGGAGGGAUUGACGGUACCUGAUAAAAAAGCACCGGCUAACUACGUG